AAGACGUCGACGGGGACGACUACGAAUGAUGUUAGUUCCUAACAACAAUGUUAGCGGUCAUAAUUAUAGUAGCAGUAGUAGUAGUAGCAACUCGUUGCUUUGAUACCGUCCGUCAAUUGCGUGUUGGGGACAGUGGCGUUGAUGUGCCAACCAGCGCCACUUCGACAACAACACCGUAACACAACAAGCUUGACCCUAACCAAAAGUCAUCGCUGCUGCUAUAGCCAUCGUUACCGAAGCAGCUACAAUUGCCACUGACGAAGCUGAUUCAUUGCUAUCUUUGCCGCUACCGCCGGCGGUUCAAGUAUCCCCUCAAUGACGACCUCCGUGUUGUCUCAGUGUUGGCCAGCCGAUAUUGUCGCUUUAGAUGUAUCAAUUGUGUUAUCCUUAUGAAUAUUAUUAUUACUAUUGCGAUUAUCCGUAGCGCAUAUACGGAUAGGCAAGUCGAAUUUUAAGCUGCUCUUCUACGACAGCCAUAGAAACAACUGCUAUCACUGCCGAUACGAAGAUUUUUACCCCCAAAACAACACUACGGGAACACGACUUUGUCGGCUUUGCGACGCCAAACGCUUCGAUACGAUUCAACUAUGGCGUACAACAGUUUGCAUGUACGUCGAAUGCUGUUAAUAUAGUACCGACGAAGUACCACGUGGACAGUGGCUCGACAAUAACCAUUUCAACAGUGGCUUGACUUAAAACGAAGACCCGUAACAGCUUCCUAGAAGAAGAAACGUGUGGGUUGAGACGAUCCUGUCUGACCGGGCAAAUCUGGGCAAAACAGUGAUAUAACAACGAACAGACGAAUAAACAUGGACGGUAAACUUUCCAGCUGUGCUCUACAGCGGAUAUGACUACUAGUCAUUAAAGACAGGGACAUUACUCGACCGCGGUUGAGGAUGAACACACAAAACGUAUCGAUCAGACUGCUAAACUAGAUCAGUACUGGCUACGAUUAGGUCCAAUCGAAGACUGCUCGGAAGAAGGAAGCCAAUAAACAGAAAUAUGGGUUUUGUCAUUGGACACACCACUCAGCAUGUUAAGCACGGGUUGAGCGGACGUAAACGUACAGGUGGAAGCGGCGUUGUUUCGUGUUGCAAAUGUUUCCCAUUUACGAACGGAAAGGUCUCUACAAAGAGUAGUCUUUGUUGAGGUUACAGAGCGUCGAGUUUACGUACCUUGAUAACAAUUUGCCCCCUCCCCCCUCCCGAGGAUCGACAUCCUUGGGCAAUAAGCCGACUGACCUUGUGGCCACCGGAUAGAGCCAAGUACAAAGCAUACCUUCGGCAUUUAUAAGUCGCCGGAGAAAGCAUAAUACCAUUCGCUAUCUGCGAAAAAAACGUCUGAAGACACUGACAGAUCGAUUCAGACCAUGCACACUGGGUAACCAAGCAGGCUUGCCUCAGCCAUGGCGCGCUGAACAAACCACCUGUUCAUACGGAAAGUAUAAACAAGCAAUAAGUUUGGGUUAUUAUUUCCCACAGGUAUGCGUAUAGGAUAUUAUAUAAAAAAUGGCAAGUAUUGACGUAAACGAUUAAAACGUCUAACAAUGCACACCGUUUUCUGGCUAGCGAGCUUGUUAAAUCUAACUUCAAAAUACCCUACCUGUUAGACCAUCUGAUUAUUAUUAGAAAAUUGGAUGGACGUCUGUCUGCGGUGCAAUUCUUUUAGAUAUCCUACUAUUCACCUCAGUAGGAUUUUAUCUGUAUCGGCUUUUUCACAGCCUGCCAUUUCGUGGACCUAUUCUAUUUACAGCAUGGCAGGCCAAUGUAAUUAGAGAGGCUUCGUAAGGAAGGCUUUCGGAAUGAGAUAAUGAAAAAUUGAAUAUAUAAAUAUUUCAAAUCGAUGAAGCUUUAGUAUGACUUGUGCUAAUACUACGUCAACGAUCUUCUCGAAGAGUUGUACCAUG